rnacentral:rRNA from 1 species
UACGGAGGGUGCAAGCGUUAUCCGGAUUCACUGGGUUUAAAGGGUGCGUAGGUGGAGUGGUAAGUCAGGGGUGAAAUCUCCAAGCUUAACUUGGAAACUGCCGUUGAUACUAUCAUUCUUGAAUAUCGUGGAGGUAAGCGGAAUAUGUCAUGUAGCGGUGAAAUGCUUAGAUAUGACAUAGAACACCGAUUGCGAAGGCAGCUUGCUACACGAUCAUUGACACUGAGGCCCGAAAGCGUGGGGAUCAAACAGG